CCCAGCUGUAGACAACUUCCUAAGAUGCAUUGCACCCAGGCAAGUGUUGCACUGUUGAGAGAAAAGCAGCUAAUAGCUGGUGGGCAUUCUGGGCAUGGUUAAUGCUAAAUUUGUUUUAACUAUACCAGUGUGCCAACAUA
ensembl:snoRNA SNORA74 Small nucleolar RNA SNORA74